AUGACCGCCGCCGCGGCGCUCGUUCUGGCCGUGGCCGUGGCCGCCGCGCUCCUCGCGGGCGCGGCGGAGGCGUCCAGGCCCAAGUGGAACUUGACGAAGAAGGGGACGACCGUCACCUACGACAAGUACUCCCUCAUGAUCGACGGCAGGCGGGAGCUCUUCUUCUCCGGCGCCAUCCACUACCCGCGCAGCCCCACGCAGAUGUGGCCCAAGCUGCUCAAGACCGCCAAGGAAGGCGGCCUCAACACCAUCGAGACCUACGUCUUCUGGAACGCCCACGAGCCCGAGCCCGGCAAGUUCAAUUUCGAAGGCAGGAACGACAUGAUCAAGUUCCUCAAGCUGAUCCAGAGCUUCGGCAUGUACGCCAUCGUGCGCAUCGGCCCAUUCAUCCAGGGAGAAUGGAAUCACGGUGCAUUGCCCUAUUGGCUCAGGGAGAUUCCACACAUAAUAUUCCGCGCCAACAACGAGCCUUACAAGAGAGAAAUGGAGAAGUUUGUGAGAUUCAUAGUGCAAAUGUUGAAGGAUGAGAAUUUGUUCGCAUCUCAAGGAGGGAACAUUAUUCUAGCCCAGAUCGAGAAUGAGUACGGAAAUAUUAAAAAGGAUCAUAUAACUGAAGGUGACAAGUACCUUGAAUGGGCUGCUGAAAUGGCCAUUAGCACCAACAUUGGAGUCCCAUGGAUAAUGUGCAAGCAAUCUACGGCUCCUGGUGUAGUGAUUCCUACCUGCAACGGAAGGCACUGUGGGGACACAUGGAUAAUGAAAGACGAAAAUAAACCCCACCUUUGGACUGAGAACUGGACUGCACAGUUCAGAGCAUUUGGUAAUGAUUUAGCUCAGCGUUCAGCAGAGGACAUUGCAUAUUCCGUGUUACGUUUUUUUGCCAAGGGUGGGACAUUGGUAAAUUACUACAUGUAUUAUGGUGGAACAAAUUUUGGAAGGACGGGUGCUUCCUAUGUGUUGACUGGAUAUUACGAUGAAGGUCCCAUUGAUGAAUACGGUAUGCCGAAGGCGCCCAAAUAUGGGCAUCUCAGGGACCUGCACAAUGUAAUCAAGUCAUACAGCAGGGCUUUCCUUGAGGGGAAACAAUCAUUCGAGCUAUUGGGUCAGGGGUAUGAGGCACGCAACUUCGAGAUUCCUGAGGAAAAGCUAUGCUUGGCUUUCAUCUCCAACAACAAUACAGGGGAGGACGGAACUGUGAUUUUCCGAGGGGACAAGUACUACAUUCCGAGCCGCUCAGUUUCCAUCCUUGCAGACUGCAAGCAUGUGGUGUACAACACAAAGAGAGUGUUUGUUCAACAUAGUGAAAGGUCAUUCCAUAAAGCCGAAAAGGCGACCAAGAACAAUGUUUGGGAGAUGUUCUCAGAGUUGAUUCCGAGGUAUAAACAAACUACUAUCAGGAACAAGGAACCCUUGGAGCAGUAUAACCAGACCAAAGACCAAAGUGACUAUUUGUGGUACACCACAAGUUUUCGCUUGGAGGCAGAUGAUUUGCCCAUCAGGGGUGACAUCCGGCCUGUGAUUGCGGUCAAAAGCACUGCACAUGCAAUGGUAGGAUUUGUCAAUGAUGCCUUUGCAGGGAAUGGUCAUGGAAGCAAGAAAGAGAAGUUUUUCACGUUUGAAACACCCAUUAGUCUAAGAUUAGGUGUCAACCAUCUCGCGCUGCUGUCAUCAUCCAUGGGAAUGAAGGACAGUGGUGGUGAACUCGUUGAACUAAAGGGUGGCAUUCAGGAUUGCACAAUACAGGGACUCAACACGGGAACCUUAGAUUUGCAAAUCAAUGGCUGGGGCCAUAAGGCCAAAUUGGAGGGUGAGGUGAAGGAGAUUUACACGGAGAAAGGCAUGGGCGCUGUUAAGUGGGUACCGGCCGUGAGUGGACAGGCUGUCACCUGGUACAAGAGAUACUUUGACGAGCCAGACGGGGAUGAUCCUGUUGUCCUUGACAUGACUUCUAUGUGCAAGGGUAUGAUAUUCGUGAACGGCGAAGGCAUGGGUCGCUACUGGACGUCAUACAAAACUCCUGGCAAAGUCGCUUCCCAGGCAGUGUACCAUAUUCCACGGACAUUCUUGAAAUCCAAGAACAACCUAUUGGUUGUAUUUGAGGAGGAGCUUGGCAAGCCGGAAGGCAUACUCAUCCAGACAGUGAGGAGAGAUGACAUCUGCGUGUUCAUCUCGGAGCACAACCCUGCACAGAUAAAGCCAUGGGACGAGCAUGGAGGCCAGAUCAAGCUCAUAGCCGAAGACCACAACACUCGGGGAUUCUUGAACUGCCCCCCGAAGAAGAUCAUCCAGGAGGUAGUCUUUGCCAGCUUUGGCAACCCGGUGGGGUCAUGCGCCAACUUCACUGUAGGCACCUGCCACACUCCCAAUGCGAAGGAAAUCGUCGCGAAGGAAUGCCUCGGCAAGAAGGGGUGCGUGCUACCAGUGCUGCACACGUUUUACGGUGCGGACAUCAACUGCCCCACGACGACGGCCACACUGGCGGUGCAAGUGAGGUGCCACAAAAAGGGCGAUCCAGAAUAA
rnacentral:rRNA from 1 species